rnacentral:rRNA from 1 species
UACGAAGGGAGCUAGCGUUGUUCGGAAUCACUGGGCGUAAAGCGCACGUAGGCGGCUGUGUCAGUCAGGGGUGAAAUCCCGGAGCUCAACUUCGGAACUGCCUUUGAUACAGCACGUCUUGAGUCCGAUAGAGGGGGGUGGAAUUCCUAGUGUAGAGGUGAAAUUCGUAGAUAUUAGGAAGAACACCGGUGGCGAAGGCGGCCCACUGGAUCGGUACUGACGCUGAGGUGCGAAAGCGUGGGGAGCAAACAGG